AUGUUGGAGAGCUGUUUUUUGCCUCAAAAGAUCCAAAAGUUGGUUAUUUUUACAUAUGAACCGUUUAUUGGAGAUGCUCUAACCUCAUCCGCCGGUGCUACCAUUGCUUCUCCUUAUGAAACCAGUGGUCUGGCGGCUAUUGCCAUGAGGCCUUGGAGCCGGACUUGUGCUCCUCCUCUUGGAGGUCAUCGCCGGUGUCCUGAAGCCGAUAGUAGGACAUGUCUGGCAUGCGCUAGGGCAGUGGCAUCACAGAGGACAAGAUCAAUAUUGUUUGAGAUCGGUCUUGAUGGUGUUGUAUGA
rnacentral:rRNA from 1 species